CGCAACAGCCGCGGGAUACAAAGACUCCACGAAGCCUCCGCGUCCCCUGGAGGACCGCGUAGCCUCCCGCGCUCGGCGUCUGCGGAGCCUGCGCAGGGCGCCGCCGCGAGACGCGCCGCUCUCGGAACCGCAGGGCGGUGCCGCGCUACGCUGGGAGCAGGAGCAGGGAGCGCGCGCGGGCUGUCCAGCGCGCCCGCCUACCCAGCGCCGCGGCAGCAGGAGCGCCGCGCCGCACGCAGCUGGGCCGCUCCGCAGCCACAGCUGCAGCGUCAGCCACCGGAGCCCUUGCGAGCAGCAGGAGACCCACAGUGACGAGGACCAGGGCCUUGUGAGGCAGAAACCGAGGUUGUAA
rnacentral:lncRNA from 1 species